GGGCCCGCACAAGCGGUGGAGCAUGUGGUUUAAUUCGAUGCAACGCGAAGAACCUUACCAGGACUUGACAUACUACGAAUUCUUCUGAGAAGAAGAAGUGCCUUCGGGAACGUAGAUACAGGUGGUGCAUGGCUGUCGUCAGCUCGUGUCGUGAGAUGUUGGGUUAAGUCCCGCAACGAGCGCAACCCUUAUUUUUAGUUACUAACUCGUUAGGUUCUCUAGAAAGACUGCCGGUGACAAACCGGAGGAAGGUGAGGAUGACGUCAAGUCAGCAUGCCCCUUAUGUCCUGGGCUACACACGUGCUACAAUGGUUAAGACAAAGAGUCGCGAGCUCGCGAGAGUCAGCUAAUCUCAUAAACUUAGCCUAAGUUCAGAUUGUAGGCUGCAACUCGCCUGCAUG
rnacentral:rRNA from 1 species